AUUGUCCACGCUUGCUUUUCUCCGCUUGCCUUUGGCGGCAGUGUCGCGGGGCUGCCGCCGGGGGCGCUGUCGCGCGCUUGUAUAGCCAUAAACGGAGUGAGAGGCGCAUGAAAUGGAGAAAAAUGGCGGAUCAUGUGCAGGGCCUCGCCCAGCUGGAGAUCCUGUGCAAGCAGCUGUAUGAGACGGCCGACACGGCCGUGCGCCACCAAGCCGAGAAAGCCUUGGUGGAGUUCACCGACGCGCCCGACUGCCUCAGCAAGUGUCAGCUGCUGCUGGAGAGAGGAAGCUCGUCAUACUCGCAGCUGCUGGCGGCCACUUGCUUGUCCAAACUGGUGUCGAGGACCAGCAACCCUCUGCCGUUGGAGCAGCGCAUCGAUAUCCGGAACUAUGUGCUGAACUAUCUGGCCACGCGGCCCAAGCUGGCCGCCUUCGUGACGCAGGCGCUGAUCCAGCUGUACGCCCGCAUCACCAAGCUGGGCUGGUUUGACUCUCAGAAGGACGACUACGUGUUCCGCAACGUCAUUGCCGACGUCACGCGCUUCCUGCAGGACAGCGUGGAGCACUGCAUCAUCGGCGUCACCGUCCUGUCGCAGCUCACCAACGAGAUCAACCAGGCGGACACCGCGCACCCGCUGACCAAACACAGGAAGAUCGCGUCGUCCUUCAGAGACUCUUCCCUCUUUGACAUCUUCACGCUGUCCUGCAACCUCCUCAAACAGGCGUCAGGGAAGAACCUAAACCUGAACGACGAGUCCCAGCACGGUUUGCUCAUGCAGCUGCUCAAGCUAAGCUACAACUGCCUCAACUACGACUUCAUUGGGACGUCCACCGACGAGUCGUCCGAUGACCUCUGCACCGUGCAGAUCCCCACCUCCUGGCGUUCAGCGUUCCUGGAUUCUUCCACCCUGCAGCUCUUCUUCAACCUUUAUCAUUCCAUCCCGCCUUCGCUCUCCCCGCUGGUGCUGUCGUGUCUGGUCCAGAUCGCUUCUGUCAGGAGGUCCCUUUUCAACAACGCCGAGAGGGCCAAGUUCUUGUCGCAUCUGGUGGAUGGAGUCAAGAGGAUACUGGCCAACCCUCAGUGUCUUCCGGACCCCAACAACUACCACGAGUUCUGCCGGCUGCUGGCGCGGCUCAAGAGCAAUUACCAGCUGGGCGAGCUGGUCAAGGUGGAGAACUACCCUGAAGUCAUCCGCCUCAUCGCCAACUUCACCGUCACCAGCCUGCAGCACUGGGAGUUUGCUCCCAACAGCGUGCACUACCUGCUGAGUCUGUGGCAGCGUCUGGCGGCGUCCGUCCCCUACGUCAAGGCCACUGAGCCACACCUGCUGGAGACCUACACCCCUGAGGUCACCAAGGCCUACAUCACAUCGCGGCUUGAGUCGGUCCACGUCAUCCUCAGGGACGCCCUGGAGGACCCCCUGGAUGAUGCCGGUCUGGUUCAGCAGCAGCUGGACCAGCUGUCCACCAUCGGAAGGUGCGAGUAUGAGAAGACCUGCGCCCUCCUUGUGCAGCUGUUUGACCAGGCGGCGCAGAGCUACCAGGAGCUGCUCCAGUCCACCAACUCCAGUACUGCCGACGUCACAGUGCAGGAAGGUCGCCUGACGUGGUUGGUGUACAUCAUUGGGGCAGUGAUCGGGGGCCGCGUGUCCUUUGCCAGCACGGACGAACAGGACGCUAUGGACGGAGAGCUUGUCUGUCGGGUCCUGCAGCUGAUGAACCUGACCGACUCGCGUCUGGCUCAAGCCGGCAACGAGAGGCUGGAGCUGGCCAUGCUCAGCUUCUUUGAGCAGUUUAGGAAGAUCUACAUCGGCGACCAGGUGCAGAAAUCAUCCAAGCUGUAUCGUCGGUUGUCGGAGGUGCUCGGCCUCAACGACGAGACAAUGGUGCUGAGCGUCUUCAUUGGCAAAAUCAUCACAAACCUGAAGUACUGGGGCCAGUGCGAACCCAUCACCUCCAAGACUCUGCAGCUCCUCAACGACCUCUCCUUAGGGUACAGCAGUGUCAGGAAGUUGGUGAAGCUGAGCGCUGUGCAGUUCAUGCUCAACAAUCACACCCAGAGCGAGCACUUCUCCUUCCUGGGCGUCAACAACCAGUCCAAUCUGAGCGACAUGAGGUGUCGCACCACCUUCUACACCGCGCUGGGGCGCCUCCUUAUGGUCGAUCUGGGUGAGGACGAGGAGCAGUUUGAGCAGUUCAUGCUGCCCCUGACGGUGGCCUUCGAGGCCGUGGCCCAGAUGUUGAGCACAAACACCUUCAACGAGCAGGAGGCCAAGAGGACUCUGGUGGGUCUGGUCCGAGACCUGCGAGGGAUCGCGUUCGCCUUCAACGCCAAGACCAGCUUCAUGAUGCUCUUCGACUGGAUAUAUCCAGCCUACAUGCCCAUCCUGCAGAGGGCCAUCGAGCUGUGGUACCACGACCCAGCGUGCACUACGCCCGUGCUCAAGCUCAUGGCUGAGCUCGUUCACAACAGGUCGCAGAGGCUGCAGUUUGACGUGUCGUCCCCGAACGGCAUCCUGCUGUUCCGAGAGACCAGCAAGAUGAUCACAACGUACGGCAAUCGCAUCCUGACGCUGGGCGACGUGCCCAAGGAGCAGGCGUACAGCGUGAAGCUGAAGGGCGUGAGCGUCUGCUUCGCCAUGCUCAAGGCGGUAUUGAGCGGCAACUACGUCAACUUCGGUGUCUUUCGCCUGUACGGCGAUGACGCCUUGGACAACGCCCUGCAGACCUUCGUCAAGCUGCUGCUGUCCAUCCCGCACAGCGACCUGUUGGACUACCCCAAACUCAGCCAGUCCUUCUACUCCCUGCUGGAGGUCCUGACCCAGGACCACAUGAACUUUAUCGCCAGCCUGGAGCCUCACAUGGUCAUGUACAUCCUGUCAUCCAUAUCGGAAGGACUCACCGCACUUGACACGAUGGUGUGCACGGGCUGCUGUUCCAGCCUGGACCACAUGGUGACCUACCUUUUCAAGCAGCUGUCUCGCUCCACCAAGAAGAGAGCCACGCCCAUGGCCACGGACGAACGCUUCCUGCACAUCAUGCAGCAGCACCCCGAGAUGAUCCAGCAGAUGCUGUCCACCGUGCUGAACAUCAUCAUUUUCGAGGACUGCCGGAACCAGUGGUCCAUGUCCAGACCGCUGCUCGGACUCAUACUCCUCAACGAGAAGUACUUUGCGGACCUGCGCAACAGCAUCGUGAACAGCCAACCUCCGGAGAAGCAGCAGGCCAUGCACCUCUGCUUCGAGAACCUCAUGGAAGGAAUUGAACGCAACCUGCUCACCAAGAACAGAGACAGACCAAGGAUGGCAAACUCCAGACAACGUGUGUUGAGAGUGGAUUCGUACGGCACUGACAAUGUUAAAUAAUGAACGUGUUCAAUAUUCACCACCAAAACGCUUCAUGUGCGCGGGGGAAGCCGACUUCUCCCGAGUCAUGACGCUGUGAAACGGAAUGUAGCCAAUCAAAAAGCACCCUGACUUUUUGACAGGAGCAAGGAAACAAAGCCUUCGGAAACACUCGGGUAACAUCGGCGCAUACCCAGACGGGGAGAGAAGAAUUUGCAGCGAUGCACUUUGCUCACCCGCUCACGGGCCACAGAACGACAUUCCGGGGCGGGCACCCCGUUGUUUCCAUUGAAGUUCAGCGGGCUGUUAAAGAGUCGUCGUCAGAGGAGGAAGAAGUCUUCCGGGCCGCAGCCACCCGAAGGAGUCAGGCCAGCUUAGAUGGCGAAAAAGAAUUUGAAGCUGACUCAACAAUUCAGCACCAUAUUGUUCUCUUUCCACAUUUUCAGCACUUCAACCAUAUUUAAUUUAGAAACAAAACAAGGACAUAAGUUUGGUUGCACUUUAAGAUUUGAAAAUUCCUUGUGUGUACCAAGACUAACGACUAACUACCCAUGUUAACUACUUCUGCAGCCCUUAGUCUCCUUAGCAUUCCUCCAUUGUUUGCCCGCGGGUGUCCCUAAUGACGUGUCCACGGUCACGCAGGUUCACGCAGAACUUGUCGGUGUUCCGGCGGGAGGUGAACGACAGCAUGAAGAACUCCACGUGCGGCGGCGGCGGCGGCAGCGGCGGCGGCGGCGGCGGCGUCAACAGCAACGACAUGAUGAGCUGACAUUCCACGCGAACGCGUCUUAACCCGGCGGCAGACCAUGGCCCCGCCAACCUUCGGCCAGUGAGCGCCUGCCCCGCCCACUCCUUGUUGAUAUGAGCAUAUAUAAAUACAGAUCUAUUUUAACGCCAGUCACAGGAAGAUUGGAGGGCCGGGGGGGCAAAAUAGUCUAACGUGCUCGCCUGCCUUCUAUAGAAGACGACAAAGUCGAGUGUACAUUUUGUUUGCUAACAUUUUCAACGAUGUUUAUAUAUUGAUGGGAUGAUUGAGCUUUUUACGCCGUAGUCACUUCGUGCGUGCCGCAGCGAGAAAAGAAAGGAAGGAAGGAAGGAAGCGAAACAAUGUGUAAAUAGUCGUCAAAGGCAGGUCUGGCGCGUCCACUUUGCACUCCUACAAACAAUCUGGAAACACACAAUCAAAAACAAACAAGAUUCCACUUUGAGUCGGGUGGGUAUCCGUCUGGGCCGGGCCUUCCACAAAGAUGGACGAACGGGCGCGUCGCUACCUGAGAGUGCUUCUUCCAACUUUUUGUUUACUUUCUGGAUUCCUGGGACCAGGUUGCGGUCCCUUUUGGUGUGUGUGUGUGCGUGUGUGUGUGCGUGUGUGUGUGACGGUGCUGUGUGGAACACUGGCGCCCCCUGGAGGCAGGAAGGCGCGCAGGCGUGCGUCGACUUCCUGGUUUGUGACUGACGUGAAUGUGGAGUAGCUGCUGUGUCGUGUCAGCAUUGUGACUGCAAAUAAACCUCAUCCUUUUUACGACGCGCCUCCGCUUCUGUGUGCAGCAAUCGGACGAGAGACCGAGACGCGCUCCGUCCUUUGUUUACCGACCGACAACUGUAAAUCCUUUUGACAAGACGAGCUGCCGUUCCUGUGCAACAAUCAGACAAGCGGUUUGAAGACGCACGUCAUCCUUUUAACAGCAGCGUAUCCUCAUUUUGCACCAAUUACAGUACUCAAAAGACAAAACUACACAUCCUUCCCGUGCACCAAUCAAUGACGAGACACAGACACUCAACCCCCGCCAAGACCCGUUUUCUCGAGCACCAAAGACAGAGUGAAAGAGGUUUUCAUUUUCACAAUCAGAGUCAAAGAUUCAGGGACCAUAAAUGUCACACCAACAGGCAUUUGCACAUAUGGCACGAAAUACGAUACCCGAGGUCCCGCGUCUCGUUACGAAAUAUAAAUAGUAAGAGCCUCAGCUCCAGUUGUGUGCAAAGAUGCAAUUGCAGCAGAAAUACGAAUACAUUAGACUUGAAUUGCACAUAUUGACUCAUUUCCUUUUGGUUGUCAUUGAAAUGUUUUAUGGAUUAUUAAUUUGUCAGAUUCAAGUUAUUUCUGUGACCACUGAGGGUUUUUCUUUCAUUAACUGUGGGCUACCAACAAUUUUGUCCAUGUGCGUACGGGAGAUUCUUGUGAAUAUUGUCAUGCUCAGGGCAUUUAAAGACGUUUGACCUCUCACCCGAGCGUGCUAGCAGGUUUCAUCCGUUCACGCGACGAGGCUUAAUGAGCACUCACUCGCCUGAGUUGGUGUGGAAAAACUCCACACAGUUUAUGCUCCAAGUUGGAGGAACCCCCACAAAACCAUGUAUGAAUAUGGAAUGAAAAAACAUCGUUGGGCUGCCUGGCAGAGAGGCCAUCGUCCGUCCAAAUUCAUUCAUAUUCCAAUAAGUUCGGAAAGUGGUCGCGGAGUUGCCUAAUGGCCGAGGAUGCCGUGCUUGCUGUUUGUUGGAGGCAGAAUUAUCGAGUUUAUUUGGAAUGGACGACGGCGAUGUCGUAAGCCGCCGCCUCUGUCACGUCUCUUUCAACAAAAGAGUGCCGUUUGUCUCGGAGGUGCGGGUAAACGGUCGAGUCUUGAGUGUGCCAUGCAUCUGCUCAGUAGUUGCUUGCUUCCUCCAAUGUAUCUGCAUUUGUAGGUGAGGAGAAGGACUUUGAAUUUGACACGGCCGGGACGGGGAGCCGGUAGACUUUUUGAAGGGCGGUCGUAUUGCGGAGGCAGGCGGUAGAAUUUUGGAUGAACCGCAGAGAAGGCUGCUGUAGUGAUUGAGCCUGGAGGUCAUAAAAGUGUGGGCGAGGGUUUCGGCAGCAGGGAAGGAGAGUGAUGAAGAACGACCGGCUAUGUUUUUGGGGGGCACUUCUGGUGAUGUUUGACGCAGAGGUCGAAAGAGAGGUUGUCGAGAAUCACUCCAAGAUGGAGUUGUGGAAGUCUUCGGUGCGGAUGAGAUCAUGUCCGAUGCAUCCCAGGUGAGUUGGAGGACAUCCGUGAUUUGAGUUGAGUCAGGCAGUUGACCGGGGUGCGGUGCGUUGGUGGACACGUAGAGCUGGAUGUCAUCGGCAUAGCAGCAGAAGCGGAGGCCGCGGCGCCGUACGACGUUACCGAGGGGGAGGAGACCGAGCACCUCGGAGAAGAUGCAGUAGUUCACGUAGAUGCUUACCUCACACAGGUCGGGGGCGUGCCGGCGCUUCUCCCGGCUAACUGAGGGCAGGAGGCGUGGUACGCCCUGAACUUGUCGCAGGGCACAUUUAAACAAACAACCACUCGCACUCACAUUCUCACCUACGGACAAUUAACCUACCGUGCGUGUUUUGGGGAUGUGGGAGGAAACCGGACUACCCGGAGAAAAGCCACGCAGGCACGGGGAGAACAUGCGAACUCCAGACAGGCGAGGCCGGAUUUGAACCCGCAACCUCAGAACUGUUUGGCGGAUAUGCUAACCGGUCGUUCACCCUGCCGCCUGCAAAUAAAUGAACACGUUUCCUUUUUUUUGUAUUGCUUCGUGACACUUUAUUCGGUGUCGAGGUGUCCUUUAUCAACUUAUCACACAAGUGAUGAAUUGUGAUCCUCAAGUAAACCUUGAAACCUUGCAGCUUCUUACACAUUGCCAAAUGUUCUCAGAUGCAAUGUAGCGGUUUCUCAAAACGACGACAAUCUUCACUGGUCAGCAUCAAAACAAGCAAAACCUUUUUUUUUUUUCUUUCGGGUGUGGGGAGGUCGUAGGUUAACUCUUGGAGGACUUGGACUCGAAGACUGCGUUAUUGAGGCCUUCUCGGUUUCGGGCGAUCUCCACGGCAAAGAACUGGAUCCUGGUGGC